rnacentral:rRNA from 1 species
UUAAUUUGAGAGUUUGAUCCUGGCUCAGGACGAACGCUGGCGGCGUGCCUAAUACAUGCAAGUCGAACGAACUCUGGUAUUGAUUGGUGCUUGCAUCAUGAUUUACAUUUGAGUGAGUGGCGAACUGGUGAGUAACACGUGGGAAACCUGCCCAGAAGCGGGGGAUAACACCUGGAAACAGAUGCUAAUACCGCAUAACAACUUGGACCGCAUGGUCCGAGUUUGAAAGAUGGCUUCGGCUAUCACUUUUGGAUGGUCCCGCGGCGUAUUAGCUAGAUGGUGGGGUAACGGCUCACCAUGGCAAUGAUACGUAGCCGACCUGAGAGGGUAAUCGGCCACAUUGGGACUGAGACACGGCCCAAACUCCUACGGGAGGCAGCAGUAGGGAAUCUUCCACAAUGGACGAAAGUCUGAUGGAGCAACGCCGCGUGAGUGAAGAAGGGUUUCGGCUCGUAAAACUCUGUUGUUAAAGAAGAACAUAUCUGAGAGUAACUGUUCAGGUAUUGACGGUAUUUAACCAGAAAGCCACGGCUAACUACGUGCCAGCAGCCGCGGUAAUACGUAGGUGGCAAGCGUUGUCCGGAUUUAUUGGGCGUAAAGCGAGCGCAGGCGGUUUUUUAAGUCUGAUGUGAAAGCCUUCGGCUCAACCGAAGAAGUGCAUCGGAAACUGGGAAACUUGAGUGCAGAAGAGGACAGUGGAACUCCAUGUGUAGCGGUGAAAUGCGUAGAUAUAUGGAAGAACACCAGUGGCGAAGGCGGCUGUCUGGUCUGUAACUGACGCUGAGGCUCGAAAGUAUGGGUAGCAAACAGGAUUAGAUACCCUGGUAGUCCAUACCGUAAACGAUGAAUGCUAAGUGUUGGAGGGUUUCCGCCCUUCAGUGCUGCAGCUAACGCAUUAAGCAUUCCGCCUGGGGAGUACGGCCGCAAGGCUGAAACUCAAAGGAAUUGACGGGGCCCGCACAAGCGGUGGAGCAUGUGGUUUAAUUCAAGCUACGCGAAGAACCUUACCAGGUCUUGACAUACUAUGCAAAUCUAAGAGAUUAGACGUUCCCUUCGGGGACAUGGAUACAGGUGGUGCAUGGUUGUCGUCAGCUCGUGUCGUGAGAUGUUGGGUUAAGUCCCGCAACGAGCGCAACCCUUAUUAUCAGUUGCCAGCAUUAAGUUGGGCACUCUGGUGAGACUGCCGGUGACAAACCGGAGGAAGGUGGGGAUGACGUCAAAUCAUCAUGCCCCUUAUGACCUGGGCUACACACGUGCUACAAUGGAUGGUACAACGAGUUGCGAACUCGCGAGAGUAAGCUAAUCUCUUAAAGCCAUUCUCAGUUCGGAUUGUAGGCUGCAACUCGCCUACAUGAAGUCGGAAUCGCUAGUAAUCGCGGAUCAGCAUGCCGCGGUGAAUACGUUCCCGGGCCUUGUACACACCGCCCGUCACACCAUGAGAGUUUGUAACACCCAAAGUCGGUGGGGUAACCUUUUAGGAACCAGCCGCCUAAGGUGGGACAGAUGAUUAGGGUGAAGUCGUAACAAGGUAGCCGUAGGAGAACCUGCGGCUGGAUCACCUCCUUUCUAAGGAA